UUUUGAGAGUACUUGCUGGCAUACUGGCAACUUCAUCUCGACACAACCCUGAUUGUAUGGUUUUGAAAAGUAAGCUGAGGGAAAUUCCCAGUGGUGGGGACUCUGUGCUGUCACUGCCAAGGACCUGGGUUCAAUCCCUAGUCGGGGAACUAAGGGCCCGCAAGCUGUGCAGCACGGCCAGAAACCCGCACCACAGUGAAAAGUGAAUGACCUCGACAGACAUCUUAGCAAGAGGGAUAGUUGAGAGAAGGAGCCUUGCUCUGCACAAAAAUACAAGAAGUCUGCUUUUGUUUUCCCUAGAGAGGGCAAUGAGAGGUAAACUUUCCAUGGUCCAUGUUUUUAUGGUGGCUGUUUUAACAUUCACCUGGCACUCAAUGUCAUGGCCUUAGGCCACGAAUUUUAAUGGUAAAAAGGUACUAUGCAGUCUUGGAUUCGAAUGAGGCGGGGGAGGGGACUGGUGAACUUUAUUGAUCAUCACCAGAAAAGUACACACAUUCAUUUGCAGAUGCCGUUAUGAAAAACGGUAGAGCCUGAGACCACCGGCUUGAGGGGACCAUCAAGGAGUAAACAGAGAGCACGGGCAUUACAAUCACUGCUCGCCUCUCCUGUGUUCCCUCUUGCAAAAGUGUGAGUAUAUUGCAGUUGGGGGUCGGCAGUAUGACAGUUAACGUCGUGUGUCUUCUUGGCUAGGCCACAGGGCCCAGAUAUUCGAAGAAACAUUAUUCUGGAUGUUUUUGUGAAGGUGUUUUCUUGGAUCGGAUGAACAUAUGAAUCGGUGGAUUUGGAGUAAUGCAUGUUAUCCUCAUCAUGUGAAUAGGCCUCCUCUGAUCAGUUGGCAGCCUUAACAGAGCAGAGGCUGCCACCACCACCCCCCACCAGGAAUGGGGGAAAUUCUGCAAGGGACAGCCUUAGACUGGCCCUGAUACAUCUCAGCAUCAAUGACACCGGCCCAGAGACAUUGCCACAACUGGCUGAUCCUUAGCCAGGAAAGAUUCCUGUGGAAAAUUUUUGGCUCUUACUGUGAUCCCUGGAGAAGGAAGAUCCCCUGGAGAAGGAAUGGCAACUCAGUCCAGUAUUCUUGUCUGGAGAAUCCCAUGGACAGGGGAGCCUGGCAGACUACAGUCCAUGGGGUCCCAAAGACUUGGACACAUCUUAGUGACUAAACACCAGCAGCAGCAGUGAGCCCAGUAGUGAGUGCUCUGUGUACAUGGUCGUGCUGACUGUUCAAUCCAUCUUUAAUUCUUAAAUCAACCAUGAGUUUCAAGUUUCUUUAAAAAAAAAAAAAGCAAAGAA